GGGACAGGGAGGAGCUGGACAGGCCCCAGGGCACGGGCACUGAGUGAGCCCAGGAAGGCCUGAGGAGGGGCUCAGGGCAGGGACGGGAUCCGGCGCCCGGGCGCUUUAGCUGCAGAGCUGACCCAGAAGAUGUGAGGCCUGGAGGGCAGACAGCAGGCCACGACGAGGACUCCGGGCUGAGGGGCACGGGCAGCGGGUGGCAGAGGCCUGCUGUGUUCAAGAAAGGUCCCGCUGGCCCAGGGCAGAUUCAGGCUGGGACAACAGGGCAGUGGGCUCAGGGCCUCAGCAGAGGCCCGUUGGGAGCAGGGGCCACCGGUCAGAGCUCAGACAGAUGGCUCGCUCAGGCCGAGCACCCACAGGAAGCCCGAGUGGGGACCCAGGGGCUGGGCCCAGGAGACUCUAAUCCAGCAGGAGGUCACCCAGCACCGACCAGGCCCAUGGGGCCAGCGCGUGCAGCCGCAGAUACACGAGGCCCUGGGGCGGCAGAGAGCUACGCCGGGCGGCUGGUCUGCAGACUUCCUGGAGGGCCACCCCAAGCCCGGGCACCUGAUACCCUGCCCGGACCCUCCCAGGAGCGAGACCCUUGUGGUCACACGGCCUCCUCUCUUGCAGCCUCCACCACGCCCCCAUCGGUGUUCCCACUGGCCCCCAGCUGCGGGACCACAUCUGGCGCCACCGUGGCCCUGGCCUGCCUGGUGUUAGGCUACUUCCCUGAGCCGGUGACCGUGUCCUGGAACUCCGGCGCCCUGACCAGCGGUGUGCACACCUUCCCGUCCGUCCUGCAGGCCUCGGGGCUCUACUCUCUCAGCAGCAUGGUGACGGUGCCCUCCAGCAGGUGGCUCAGUGAGACCUUCACCUGCAACGUGGCCCACCCGCCCAGCGACACCAAGGUGGACAAGACCGUACCCAAAACAGCGUCCACAAUAGAGCCCAAAACCGGGGAAGGUCCCAAAUGCCCAGUUCCUGAGAUUCCUGGAGCACCGUCCGUCUUCAUCUUCCCCCCAAAACCCAAGGACACCCUCUCGAUUUCCCGGACGCCGGAGGUCACGUGCUGGUGGUGGACUUGGGCCCAGAUGACUCCAAUGUCCAGAUCACAUGGUUUGUGGAUAACACCGAGAUGCACACAGCCAAGACGAGGCCGCGUGAGGAGCAGUUCAACAGCACCUACCGUGUGGUCAGUGUCCUCCCCAUUCCUGCACCAGGACUGGCUCAAGGGGAAGGAGUUCAAGUGCAAGGUCAACAGCAAAGCCCUCCCCUCAGCCAUCGAGAGGACCAUCUCCAAGGCCAAAGGACAGCCCCACGAGCCCCAGGUGUACGUCCUGCCUCCAGCCCAGGAGGAGCUCAGCAGGAACAAAGUCAGUGUGACCUGCCUGAUCGAAGGCUUCUACCCGCCUGACAUUGCCGUCGAGUGGGAGAUCACCGGACAGGCAGAGCCAGAGAACAACUACCAGACGACCCCGCCCCAGCUGGACAGCGAUGGGACCUACUUCCUGUACAGCAGGCUCUUGGUGGACAAGUCCCGCUGGCAGAGUGGAAACACCUACACCUGCUCAGUGUCACACGAAGCUCUGCACAGCCACCACACACAGAAAUUCCCUCACCCACUGUUCCUGGACGACAGCUGUGCGGAGGACCAGGACGGGGAGCUGGAUGGGCUGUGGACCACCAUCUCCAUCUUCAUCACGCUCUUCCUGCUCAGCGUGUGCUACAGCGCCACUGUCACCCUCUUCAAGGUGAAGUGGAUCUUCUCCUCGGUGGUGGAGCUGAAGCGCACGAUCGCGCCCGACUACAGGAACAUGAUCGGGCAGGGGGCCUAGGGCCAGCCGUCCCGGGCGGGUGUCAGCGCUGCCCCAACCCUGCACAGGAUCCCGGUGCGUCAGCCUGCUGCCAGGCCUGCUCUCCCGCCCUCUGACCUCGCCACCC